UUCUCAGUAACAGAUACAAACUCAUCACGAACGUCAGAAGCAGCCUUAUGGCCGUCAACAUACAUAUCACCAUUAUCGAACUCAACGCCCUGCAUACGAAAAGACAGAAUCUCUUCCAAGAGCUUGAUGCGGUUAUCCAUCUGCUUAUGGAAGCCAAGCAUUGGGGAUUGAGAAAGAGUAGAAAUGCCACAAGCCUCAAUAGCAGGUUUAAGAGCCUCGAUACGCUCAAAGUCAAAAUAAUCAGCGUGACAUUCAGAAGGGUAAUAAGAACGAACCAUAAAAAAGCCUCCAAGAUUUGGAGGCAUGAAAACAUACAAUUGGGAGGGUGUCAAUCCUGACGGUUAUUUCCUAGACAAAUUAGA
rnacentral:rRNA from 1 species